GCGCCCGUAGCUCAACUGGACAGAGCACCAGACUUCGGAUCUGGGGGUUAGGGGUUCAAAUCCUCUCGGGCGCGCCA
rnacentral:tRNA from 2 species